UACGUAGGGUGCAAGCGUUGUCCGGAAUUAUUGGGCGUAAAGAGCUCGUAGGCGGUUUGUUGCGUCGGCUGUGAAAUCCCGAGGCUCAACCUGGGAAUGGCCGUUGAAACUGGCGAACUGGAGUGUGGCAGAGGGGGGUGGAAUUCCGCGUGUAGCAGUGAAAUGCGUAGAGAUGCGGAGGAACACCGAUGGCGAAGGCAGCCCCCUGGGCUGACACUGACGCUCAGGCACGAAAGCGUGGGGAGCAAACAGG
rnacentral:rRNA from 1 species